GAUGAAGAACGUAGUGAAAUGCGAUAAGUAAUGUGAAUUGCAGAAUUCAGUGAAUCCUCGAAUCUUUGAACGCACAUUGCGCCCCCUGGUAUUCCGGGGGGCAUGCCUGUCCGAGCGUCAUUACAACCCUCAAGCUCAGCUUGGUAUUGGGCCCCGCCGCUCCGGCGGGCCCUAAAGUCAGUGGCGGUGCCGUCCGGCUCCGAGCGUAGUAAUUCUUCUCGCUCUGGAGGUCCGGUCGUGUGCUCGCCAGCAACCCCCAAUUUUUUUCAGGUUGACCUCGGAUCAGGUAGGGAUACCCGCUGAACUUAAGCAUAUCAAUAAGCGGAGGA
rnacentral:misc_RNA from 1 species